rnacentral:tRNA from 2 species
GCCCCGUUAGUGUAGCGGUUAUCAUACAGGAUUGUCAUUCCUGUGACACGGAUUCAAAUUCCGUACGGGGCG